AGAUGCUCAAGAUACUUAAUGAGGAACCUCAGCAGUGUAAAAAAGGUCCAAUGAGAAAUGAAGGAUUCACUAAUUGAAAUAAAGAACAAUUUACAGGCAAACAACAGGAGAGUGGAUGAAGCUGAGAAUCAAAUCAAUGAUAACAACCAAUCAGAAGAAGAAAA